rnacentral:tmRNA from 1 species
GGGGACGCAAUGGUCUCGACGGGGAUCUUGAACUGCGGCAAGCGAGCAGUGGUGAGGCACCACUAUAAAAGCUUCACUUAUAAAUUAAACAACACUAAUACUGUUGCACUCGCUGCCUAAUUAAGGCGGCCGUCCGAGCGGAGAGUACCGCGGCUUCGUAAGGGCGUGAUUUAGCGGUGAACGUGAGCAGGGGGAUGGCUGUGCCCCUGCCAUGCAUUACAGCCUACCGCAGCACGAAGCCGGUCACACGGCGGCGUGUGAGGGGAAUCCUAAAUGUGUGACUGCGCUCGGAGAAGGCUGUACGGAUGGGUUUUCGGACAGGGGUUCAAUUCCCCUCGUCUCCACCA